rnacentral:rRNA from 1 species
ACUCUAAUGAGACUGCCGGUGGACAAACCGGAGGAAGGUGGGGAUGACGUCAAGUCCUCAUGGCCCUUAUGGGUAGGGCUUCACACGUCAUACAAUGGUCGGUACAGAGGGUUGCCAAGCCGCGAGGUGGAGCCAAUCCCUUAAAGCCGAUCGUAGUCCGGAUCGUAGUCUGCAACUCGACUACGUGAAGUCGGAAUCGCUAGUAAUCGCAGAUCAGCAUGCUGCGGUGAAUACGUUCCCGGGUCUU